UACAGAGGGUGCAAGCGUUGUUCGGAAUUAUUGGGCGUAAAGGGCGCGUAGGCGGUGCCACAAGUCACCUGUGAAAUCUCCGGGCUUAACUCGGAGCCUGCAGGCGAAACUGUGGUGCUGGAGUGUGGGAGAGGUGCGUGGAAUUCCCGGUGUAGCGGUGAAAUGCGUAGAUAUCAGGAGGAACACCAAUAGCGAAGGCAGCUCGCUGGGACGGUACUGACACUGAGGCGCGAAAGCGUGGGGAGCGAACAGG
rnacentral:rRNA from 1 species